AGAGCGAACGCUGGCGGCAGGCCUAAUACAUGCAAGUCGAACGGAUCCUUCGGGAUUAGUGGCGGACGGGUGAGUAACACGUGGGAACGUACCCUUUGGUUCGGAACAACUCAGGGAAACUUGAGCUAAUACCGAAUGUGCCCUUCGGGGAAAAGAUUUAUCGCCAUUGGAGCGGCCCGCGUCUGAUUAGCUAGUUGGUAGGGUAAAGGCCUACCAAGGCUACGAUCAGUAGCUGGUCUGAGAGGAUGAUCAGCCACACUGGGACUGAGACACGGCCCAGACUCCUACGGGAGGCAGCAGUAGGGAAUCUUGCGCAAUGGGCGAAAGCCUGACGCAGCCAUGCCGCGUGAAUGAUGAAAGGUCUUAGGAUUGUAAAAAUUCUUUCAGCGGGGACGAUAAAUGACGGUACCCGCAGAAGAAGCCCCGGCUAACUUCGCGCCAGCAGCCGC
rnacentral:rRNA from 1 species